GACUCUCGACAAUGGAUAUCUCGGCUUUCGCAUCGAUAAAGAAUGCAACAAAAUGCGAUACUUGGUGUCCAUUGCAGAAUCCCAUGAAUCGCCGAGUCUUUGAAUGCAAGCUGUGCCCGAAGCCAUUCAGUCGAGGGCACGUCAACCUGGGUGUCA